rnacentral:siRNA from 1 species
UAUGCAGUGCUACAAACUAGU